rnacentral:lncRNA from 1 species
CCACUAACUCGCUGGAACCCAGCGGCGAGAAACCAGAAGCCCGCCGCUCAUCCACCAGUUCGUCACCACCACACCCCUAACCAACAAGUUGUUGCUGCUUCUUCAUUUCCUGCUGCAACACCAACCAAAAACACCUCUCUGUCCUUCGUCUUCCAGCAGCGAACAAGAACCAGGGGACCUUCAGACGUUGCCCUCAUCUGAUUUUGCUUCUUCUCUAUUUUUGAAUACACACACAUACAAACAGAGAUGGGGAAUUUCAGUCCGAAAAAAAUCAAGUGAACCAUAGUGCGAACAGAUCUGACGAGCCAAAAACAGGGUCAAAACCAUUCUGAUUUCAAGCGAGGUUCAGUUGUUGAAGUUCCGGUGGCGAUUUGGUCUGUGUUCGGGUAUAUUUUUUUUAGUUCUAUUCAUUCCAAAUGCUGUAAUCAUCAUUGGGAGAUCUAUUAGGUUGAAAUGUGUAAUAAUUUUUCUUUUGUUUCUCUAAAAAUUUCAUUACUCAGUUUCUUCUUUCUCUAUUUUAUUUCGCUGCUUGCAUGAUGAUUCGAUGCCUCAGUUUUGGCUACUGUUCAGUUUUGCGAUGUUACUCUCGUGGUUUUGAAUGGAAUAUUAGAUUGAUGGUUUGCUCGUUGAUUUUAAGUGGAAUUCCUCUGUUUGUCC